GGGGGGGGGAAUGAAUGACACCAGAAUCCUUACCCUUACCACCUUCCCUGUCACAAGAGGGUACCUCCUUUUCAUUUGCAUUAUCUGACCUGAUCACCUAACAGCAUGUCGAUGACAACAUCUGUGAACUAUAGUUUGUUUGUGAACGACUGGGUCACAUCAAGUCUAGAGAUGGUUAAAUUGUAAAACAAAUUUUCUUUGCACUUGGCAUUUGUAUUGAUUUAGUGAAACCAAUGACAUCACAAAUGGUUAGGUCUCAAGAAAAAGAGAAAGACAAGAAAGCCUUCAACUGAAUUUGGUCAUCCAAAUUUAUGGCCUAACUGAGCUAGGGCCUAACUCUGAGGCUAUGCAUGUAGCCUGCAGUACUUCUUGAGCAGAAUAAAUCUUUUUUCUUUUUCCAACUCCCAAGAACAUCAGCUGCAUUUGUGUUCUUAGUGACUGUAGGGCUCCUCAUUUUUAUCUCCCCAAGCAUAGCUUGUGGAAUUCUGUUUUCCACCGUGAGGGGAAAUGGAGGUCAUCUUGUAUAGAAAACGUGAUGGACAGUGUCCAUGCUGAGUGAACUGGCAGCACGUAGGACAGCCACUCUCAAGCAUGCUGUAUUUAAGCUGUGUUAAGAAUGGGAGCUGAGAGAAAGGAUAAGCAAUGAAAGAGUGUAAUGUUAAAAGCAAGCAUCCAUGCUCCUCACGGUGUACCCUUUCUUAUAAACAACAUGAGGAAAAAUACUGGUCAAAUCUGGAACUCCUUCAUCAUCAGCCCUCCACAAGAAAAAGAAAAAAUACCCACCCCUAAAGUUUAACAGCUAAUUAGUCAGAAUUUUUGCCUAGAAAUUACUUUCUGUCCUAGAUCGGAGUAUCCAUUAUUUAUUUCUUGAAUAAUUAUGGUAAAAAUACAGUUCUACUUUACUGAGGUGCUGUUCUUUCAGAGAUAAAUGCAACCAUUUCUCAGAUAUUUCUUUUAAAACUAAAAUUAAGUGGGAGAGUAAAAAAAUUAGAAAUUAAUUAUGUAUUUCUUGCAAAUGACACUCCAGUUUUCUGAAGAGUGCAGGUGCUUCCUCCUUGUCUCCUACUUUUAUCUCUCAGUUCACUAGAUGUCGGAUGUUUUCUUAGGAUUGCUUACCUGUGAGAGCACUCCAGUUAAAACCAGCAAGAAGCCAGAUUGGAAACAGAAGAGGAAGUAAAGUUUGUACAAAGCUGCUUGCAGGAGAUAGAAAGCUAUCAAAGGUGCAGCUCAGCAUUGCAGUUUCUUCUGACUGAAGUGGUUCACUUUGAAUGGUAAAUGUUUUUAUGUGUGGUAGUUAUCUUCUGAAUGCAAGCUGGUAUAACGUCUGUCUUCUUAAUUGUUGACAAAGCUGCUACCGCAUCUGAGUUUUUAUAUGUGGAAGGAGAUGUGGGAAGGUUUAAAUGUAGUGGAGGCAUUCUGAGAAAAUUAUGCUGCUGCAGUAUGUUCUCCUUCAUCUACUCUGGUAGUAUUGCUCUUGCUGAUGAUGAGGAUGGUAGCAGCAUCUUCAGAGCGUUAUAGCUAUGCUUCAGAAGGGGAUAAAGCUUGGCGAAGAAUCUCUGUUAAACGGAAUGUGGCAAAUUAUUAAGGCUGUCUAUAUGAAAGAUGUAAAGCUAUCUGUGGUGGACAAAGAGG
ensembl:lncRNA